GACGAACGCUGGCGGCGUGCUUAACACAUGCAAGUCGAACGGUAAGGCCUUCGGGUACACGAGUGGCGAACGGGUGAGUAACACGUGGGUGAUCUGCCCUGCACUUUGGGAUAAGCCUGGGAAACUGGGUCUAAUACCGAAUAGGACCGCGCGCUUCAUGGUGUGUGGUGGAAAGCUUUUGCGGUGUGGGAUGGGCCCGCGGCCUAUCAGCUUGUUGGUGGGGUAAUGGCCUACCAAGGCGACGACGGGUAGCCGGCCUGAGCGGGGGACCGGCCAGACUGGGACUGGGAGACGGCCCAGACUCGUACGGGAGGCAGCAGUGGGGAAUAUUGCACAAUGGGGGCAAGCCUGAUGCAGCGACGCCGCGUGAGGGAUGGCGGCCUUCGGGUUGUAAACCUCUUUCAGUAGGGACGAAGCGCAAGUGACGGUACCUAUAGAAGAAGGACCGGCCAACUACGUGCCAGCAGCCGCCGUAA
rnacentral:rRNA from 1 species